AGGGGGUGUCAUACACAGCGAUGACAGGGCGAUCAGGUCUUUGGGACCCUCGCCCCCCCCCUGAAGGUGGAUGGAGUCACAGGAGUCGGAGGUGGGGGUCAG